GCGAAAGCGCGCAACUGGACCGGAACUGACACUCAUGGACGAAAGCUAGGGGAGCGAAAGGGAUUAGAUACCCCUGUAGUCCUAGCUGUAAACGAUGGAUACUAGGUGUUGCCUGUAUCGACCCGGGCAGUGCCGUAGCUAACGCGUUAAGUAUCCCGCCUGGGGAGUACGCACGCAAGUGUGAAACUCAAAGGAAUUGACGGGGGCCCGCACAAGCGGUGGAGUAUGUGGUUUAAUUCGAUGCAACGCGAAGAACCUUACCAGGGCUUGACAUGUCCGGAAUCCUCUUGAAAGGGAGGAGUGCCUUCGGGAACCGGAGCACAGGUGGUGCAUGGCUGUCGUCAGCUCGUGUCGUGAGAUGUUGGGUUAAGUCCCGCAACGAGCGCAACCCUCGUUUCUAGUUGCCAUCAUUAAGUUGGGCACUCUGGAGAGACUGCCGGUGACAAACCGGAGGAAGGUGGGGAUGACGUCAAGUCAGCAUGCCCCUUACGUCCUGGGCUACACACGUACUACAAUGCUAUGGACAAAGAGCAGCGAGCACGCGAGUGCAAGCAAAUCUCAUAAACCAUGGCUCAGUUCAGAUUGCAGGCUGCAACUCGCCUGCAUGAAGGCGGAAUCGCUAGUAAUCGCAGGUCAGCAUACUGCGGUGAAUACGUUCCCGGGCCUUGUACACACCGCCCGUCACACCAUGGGAGUUGGCCACGCCCGAAGUCGUUACUCCAACCGCUUGCGGAGGAGGACGCCGAAGGUAGGGCUGAUGACUGGGGGGAAGUCGUAACAAGGUAGCCGU
rnacentral:rRNA from 1 species